AGGAGCCUGCCCCGGAGAAGCCUCUGCCCGGUGCUUGGAGACCUGCCCUUCUGGCCUCUGCCUGGACCUUGGAGGGCACCGGCCACUGAGGCGCAGACCUUGCGCUGGGCUCCAGGAGGGACGCCGGCUCAGCGUCAGCCCCGGCUAGAAGUGAGGGACCAAGGACCCAGCUGGAACCACCAGGACCCGAUGACGGCACCAGCCACCCAAGGCACAAGGCGCCACAAACCACUGUUCCAUAAACCAAAGCCAAAACUUGUCCUUGCCCUCCCCUCCCCCCAUGGCUGCUCCCUCCCUCCCCCUUGCCUUUCUCUGGCCAGGAGCUCCCCUCCAAGGACCCCUAGAGGAGCCCAGACUGCAAGGAGCGGCUGUGCC